rnacentral:rRNA from 1 species
UUUCGGGCUUCGACCGGCGUACGGGUGCGUAACGCGUAUACAAUCUGCCUUUCACGUAGGGAUAGCCCGAAGAAAUUUGGAUUAAUACCUAAUAGUAUAUAGGUGUGGCAUCACAUUUAUAUUAAAGCUGAGGCGGUGAAAGAUGAGUAUGCGUUCUAUUAGCUAGUUGGAGAGGUAACGGCUCCCCAAGGCUACGAUAGAUAGGGGUUCUGAGAGGGAUAUCCCCCACACUGGUACUGAGAUACGGACCAGACUCCUACGGGAGGCAGCAGUGAGGAAUAUUGGACAAUGGUCGGAAGACUGAUCCAGCCAUGCCGCGUGCAGGAAGACGGCCUUAUGGGUUGUAAACUGCUUUUGCAGGGGAAGAAUAAGGACUACGAGUAGUUUGAUGACGGUACUCUGCGAAUAAGCAUCGGCUAACUCCGUGCCAGCAGCCGCGGUAAUACGGAGGAUGCGAGCGUUAUCCGGAAUCAUUGGGUUUAAAGGGUCCGUAGGCGGGCUAAUAAGUCAGAGGUGAAAGCGCUCAGCUCAACUGAGCAACUGCCUUUGAAACUGUUAGUCUUGAAUGGUUGUGAAGUAGUUGGAAUGUGUAGUGUAGCGGUGAAAUGCUUAGAUAUUACACAGAACACCGAUAGCGAAGGCAUAUUACUAACAAUUAAUUGACGCUGAUGGACGAAAGCGUGGGGAGCGAACAGGAUUAGAUACCCUGGUAGUCCACGCUGUAAACGAUGGAUACUAGCUGUUUGGUUGUAAGACU